GAUAGGGUGACUGAGAUAUUAGGUAAUAGACUGUAAAUCUAUCAAGGAGGUUUACUCCCCUGUCA
rnacentral:tRNA from 1 species